ACGCGACUAGCCGCGCUAGUCACCAACACUUAAUAAAAAAAAUAGAGCCUUUCAGGCUAAAAUAUAUUAUGUAUGUAUUACACUCGUCAUAUCCCUUAUAUGAAUUUUCUUGAAGCAACAAAGACAAAUAGAAAUCCACACAAGCCUACGACGCUUGCGUCUAAUGCUCACGUCGCACCAUAAUGGAAUUUUACCUCAUUAUGGUGGAAAAGACGGUGUAUAAAUAUAUAUGCGCAUAUCCCCUAUAUAAAUUAUUAUAUUUAUACAGGGCUACGACGAUUGCGUCUAACGCUCACGUCGCACCAUAAUGGAAUUUUUCCUCAUCAUGGUGGAAAAACAUGUAUAGCUAGCUAGCAUUUCUUUAUAUACAUAUUAUUCUAAUAAUCAUCCAAAUAUGGAUACAUAUAUAUACUCACCAUUCUCAAUUUCGGUUCUUCUCUAACAACGUAAAUUAUUUCGCAUGCACAUUAUUGAAAACAAAAGUCCACUCACAACUUUAGGCCUAAGCUUGACGUCGAUCCGAGGUCUCUUCUGCUUGAGCCUCCUCACGUCAUUUUUCCAAAUGUAAAAUUAAUUUCCCAACUAAAAAUCCAAAUAUUUAUACAAAAUAGGCAAAAUUAAACGUGAGCCAUAACCAUGCUCAUCAUUGCCUAACUUCGAUAUUCCUAAAUCGAAACGAUCCAAACUUUAAUACCAUAAUCGGCAGCCAUAAACACAAUCUCCCACAGAUUUAACGACUUUAAUCCUACAGCUGGAUUCUACAUUAAUUACCCGCCAAAAAAUACCAAACUUCGUAAAUUCACAAACCUAACCAAAACUCUUCCAAAAAUUCCAUAAUUCACAUCAAUAAACUCCCCUUAAUAUUCCACAUUUAAAACCAUAAAAAUUUCCCACACAACGGCGACCGGAGGCCGACUCCGGCGACCUCCGAUGCCUAUGAAAUUUUGACAGCAUCUUCCUCUCAACCUACUCUACAACUUUUCUAACUAGCACAAACACUAAUUCCAAGCUUAACUAGGCCAAUCAAACGAAAAAACCCAAAUAAGCCCAAAAACUUCUACUCACCGGUUCUCCUUACCUAGACCAAGAGAGGAUGAGCCCUUUGGAGGGAUUGAUGCACGGGACGAGAGCUUCAUUUUGAGCCGAGAAGCUCCGGCUAUGGCGACCGGAGGAGUGAGUUCCGGCGAGAGAACCACCAAGGCAGUUGGACCUUUCGGCUGCAUUUUCUCUCCCACGGUGGCACUAGGGAGGCUGCCACUGGUCCAAGACGGAAGCUAGGUCGAGGGCCGACUAAUCGAGACCGGAGCGGCGUUCUCAGGCGGCCGGACGACGGUAAACGGCUGGAUAGAAAAUCCGGCAAGGAGAGAGGGAGGGAAUCGGGAGAGAGAGAGAGAGAGGAAAAAGAGGGAGAGAGUGUUGGGCUUUCUCCUCCCAACCGGUCCUAACCCACCAAAUAAACCCAACUCUAAUAAUUAACACCCCAAAAAUAAAACUUUGAUAAAAAUUACCUUUUACUAGCUAAAAUUUACUAUUUUUACCGACGUCACAAUUUCCUCCUACGAAUAUUUCCUCCGAAAUAAUCGUCCCUCAAAACCCCUCUAGGGACUAUUUAAACUAUAAACACAUUGACGAAGACGGUAAAACUCUUAUUAUACCAAGCUAGUAAAUA
rnacentral:lncRNA from 1 species